rnacentral:rRNA from 1 species
GUGCACCAGUCGAGAAUUUUCACAAUGGGGGAAACCCUGAUGGAGCGACGCCGCGUGGAGGAUGAAGGCCCUCGGGUCGUAAACUCCUGUCAUGCGGGAACAAGAAAGUGAUAGUACCGCAAGAGGAAGAGACGGCUAACUCUGUGCCAGCAGCCGCGGUAAUACAGAGGUCUCAAGCGUUAUUCGGAUUCAUUGGGCGUAAAGGGUGCGUAGGUGGCGAUGUAAGUCUGGUGUGAAAUCUCGGAGCUUAACUCCGAAACUGCAUUGGAUACUGCGUUGCUUGAGGAUUGUAGAGGAGAGUGGAAUUCACGGUGUAGCAGUGAAAUGCGUAGAUAUCGUGAGGGAGACCAGUUGCGAAGGCGACUCUCUGGGCAAUUCCUGACACUGAGGCACGAAGGCCAGGGGAGCAAACGGGAUUAGAUACCCGUGUAGU